rnacentral:rRNA from 1 species
GACGAACGCUGGCGGCGUGCCUAAUACAUGCAAGUCGAACGCAGUGGGGACGGGUGAGUAACACGUGGGUAACCUCCAAUCAGAGGGGAUAACACUUGGAAACAGGUGCUAAACCGAUACUGAUGGAUGAACCCGCGGUGCAUUAGCUAGUUGGUGAGGUAACGGCUCACCAAGGCCACGAUGCAUAGCCCACCUGCGAGUGGGAUCGGCCACACUGUGACUGAGACACGGCCCAGACUCCGACGGUAUGCAGCAGUAGUGAAUCUGCAGCAAUGGACGAAAGUCUUACCGAGCAACGCCGCCUGCGUUAAGAAGUUUUUCGGAUCGUAAAACUCUGUUGUUAGAUAAGCGGUAUCUAACCAGAAAGCCACGGCUAACUACGUGCCAGCAGCCGCGGUAAUUC